rnacentral:rRNA from 1 species
CUCAGGAUGAACGCUGGGCGCGUGCCUAAUACAUGCAAGUCGAACGAGUUCUGAUUAUUGAAAGGUGCUUGCAUCUUGAUUUAAUUUUGAACGAGUGGCGGACGGGUGAGUAACACGUGGGUAACCUGCCCUUAAGUGGGGGAUAACAUUUGGAAACAGAUGCUAAUACCGCAUAAAUCCAAGAACCGCAUGGUUCUUGGCUGAAAGAUGGCGUAAGCUAUCGCUUUUGGAUGGACCCGCGGCGUAUUAGCUAGUUGGUGAGGUAACGGCUCACCAAGGCAAUGAUACGUAGCCGAACUGAGAGGUUGAUCGGCCACAUUGGGACUGAGACACGGCCCAAACUCCUACGGGAGGCAGCAGUAGGGAAUCUUCCACAAUGGACGCAAGUCUGAUGGAGCAACGCCGCGUGAGUGAAGAAGGCUUUCGGGUCGUAAAACUCUGUUGUUGGAGAAGAAUGGUCGGCAGAGUAACUGUUGUCGGCGUGACGGUAUCCAACCAGAAAGCCACGGCUAACUACGUGCCAGCAGCCGCGGUAAUACGUAGGUGGCAAGCGUUAUCCGGAUUUAUUGGGCGUAAAGCGAGCGCAGGCGGUUUUUUAAGUCUGAUGUGAAAGCCCUCGGCUUAACCGAGGAAGUGCAUCGGAAACUGGGAAACUUGAGUGCAGAAGAGGACAGUGGAACUCCAUGUGUAGCGGUGAAAUGCGUAGAUAUAUGGAAGAACACCAGUGGCGAAGGCGGCUGUCUGGUCUGUAACUGACGCUGAGGCUCGAAAGCAUGGGUAGCGAACAGGAUUAGAUACCCUGGUAGUCCAUGCCGUAAACGAUGAAUGCUAGGUGUUGGAGGGUUUCCGCCCUUCAGUGCCGCAGCUAACGCAUUAAGCAUUCCGCCUGGGGAGUACGACCGCAAGGUUGAAACUCAAAGGAAUUGACGGGGGCCCGCACAAGCGGUGGAGCAUGUGGUUUAAUUCGAAGCAACGCGAAGAACCUUACCAGGUCUUGACAUCUUUUGAUCACCUGAGAGAUCGGGUUUCCCCUUCGGGGGCAAAAUGACAGGUGGUGCAUGGUUGUCGUCAGCUCGUGUCGUGAGAUGUUGGGUUAAGUCCCGCAACGAGCGCAACCCUUAUGACUAGUUGCCAGCAUUUAGUUGGGCACUCUAGUAAGACUGCCGGUGACAAACCGGAGGAAGGUGGGGAUGACGUCAAAUCAUCAUGCCCCUUAUGACCUGGGCUACACACGUGCUACAAUGGAUGGUACAACGAGUUGCGAGACCGCGAGGUCAAGCUAAUCUCUUAAAGCCAUUCUCAGUUCGGACUGUAGGCUGCAACUCGCCUACACGAAGUCGGAAUCGCUAGUAAUCGCGGAUCAGCACGCCGCGGUGAAUACGUUCCCGGGCCUUGUACACACCGCCCGUCACACCAUGAGAGUUUGUAACACCCGAAGCCGGUGGCGUAACCCUUUUAGGGAGCGAGCCGUCUAAGGUGGGACAAAUGAUUAGGGUGAAGUCG